rnacentral:misc_RNA from 1 species
AUGCAUUGUGAAAAGGACAAAAAGAGGGUAAAUUAGCAUAGUGAAAGGCUCUCGGUUUUUGUUGAAUUUUUUCUUUCAUUUUUGCUGAGCUUAAACACGAAAAAAAGUUGAACUUGAAAGUUGAAACGGACUCUUCCUUGGUUACUCUGCUAUCGGCUUCUCCUUCUCCAGAAGCAAAGCUCUUGAACUGAUUGGUCAUGCGGUUUCCCAGUAGAUCUAGUGGAAGAGCAUUUGUUCUUGAUCCUGCUUGAAAUCAAGAAUUUUAGAAUAAAAAAUCUCUCUAUUUUUAGUACUGCACUGUUGAUUUCCUUUCGAACUGAUAACUCUGCCAUUCCAUUUGGCAAUGCAAGUGACUGCAACGUCGAAGGUCCAGCAAAUGUUGAACCAAUUGGCUUAAAUUAGAAGAGG